UACGUAGGGUGCGAGCGUUGUCCGGAAUUAUUGGGCGUAAAGAGCUCGUAGGCGGUGUGUCACGUCGGCCGUGAAAACCUGGGGCUUAACUCUGGGCGUGCGGUCGAUACGGGCAUCACUAGAGUUCGGCAGGGGAGACUGGAAUUCCUGGUGUAGCGGUGAAAUGCGCAGAUAUCAGGAGGAACACCGGUGGCGAAGGCGGCAUCCUGGACCGACACUGACGUGAGGAGCGAAAGCCAGGGGAGCAAACGGG
rnacentral:rRNA from 1 species